CCCAAUUCUCACAUUUAAACAAAACAAAAAUAUGUAUUUAAUUGUUUAAUGAUUACUGAUUAAUUUAUACAUUCAUAAUUAGUAGGUUUUGUUAUCUGUUUAAACGAACCUUUGUCUACAUCUGUAUUGUAUAUUGUUUUUGGAGGUGUUGUUUUUAAAUCAGCCCUUCCUGGAGGGUGGUCAGGUAGGGUAGAGGGUGGUCAGGUAGGGUGGAGGGUGACCUGCCCCAGCUCAACUCUCUGUUUUUGUAUAUCUGCAGUACAUUUCUACUCUUGCAUUAGUCCUCAUCCAUUGGCCAUUUGGGUUAGCAUGAAACCUAACUAUAUUUGGCACAGAAAAAUAAACAGGAACAUAAUACAAUAUCCCACCUCCUUGGCUUUGGGCAGGGGCUGAAGGUAUGCAUGUUGAUCAGUAGGGGCUGAAGGUAUGCAUGUUGAUCAGUAGGGGCUGAAGGUAUGCAUGUUGAUCAGUAGGGGCUGAAGGUAUGCAUGUUG
ensembl:lncRNA